UGAUGAAAAAAUCCUAAGCAAGAUUUCCAAAA
rnacentral:piRNA from 1 species